rnacentral:RNase_MRP_RNA from 1 species
UUUGAGCUCGAACGAUCGUUGUUGAAGCAAUCUUACGAAACACCAAAGUUUCUUUCGCAGCUUUAGGGAAAGUCCCCGGACUCUUUCGUCUUGUUUCCGAAAGGAUUCAGGAUAAGCGGAAACGCGCUGACCUAAAGAAUCAGCGGUUACUAUGGUGGGCUUACCCCGUGGCAGGCGUUAUCUUUGUUUUCUCAUAGUCUUCUUUGUAUGCGUUUUGUUUCCGGAACGGAGUAGACAAGGAUAUAAGUCUAUGAAGCGCGUGUUAGGAAGUGUCUAGAGAACAUGAAGGUAGCUGCUAUGCGAGGUUUGCCUUACCAUUGAACUGUGUUUUUUCGUCGUAGGCGAUAGUUAUACGAUCACAUCUUUAAAUCGAUGUAACUCAAUGGGGCUUAGUCAUGGGUUCAA